AUGUCAGGUUCUCUCGUCAACGGUCAGCUGGGAUUGGCUUCGGCUCACUCGUGACCCUAAUCAGGAUGAGCAGUAUUACAAAACGGAUGGACGGGUGGAUAAAAGGACAGUCCACCUCACUUCUCGCACUAAAGCUCAGACAGAAUAUUUGUGAUUCCUUCCAAGACAAACUUUGGCUGAGAGAACCGACUGCAGCUCUGAAUCUGGCCCCCAUGCCACAAGAUGCUGCCAUAGCCCCGUCUAAAUAGGAAAGAAGCACAGUUUGCUGCCAAGGAAAUACAGUAAUGCCUCGGUUCUCAACCACAAUCCGUUCCAGAAAACGGUUCGAGGCGUGAUUUGUUGGAAAACCGAAUCGAUGUUUACCAUUGCAGUAAAUGGAAAAAGAAAUAAUGCGUUCCAAGCCUAAAAAAUUGGUCUUUUUAAAGCAUUUUUUUUAGCUUUUUCCAUAGUAGAAAUACAAGAAUAGUUUAAAUAUUUUAUACAAUUAAAUAAUUUCAGAAAUAUAUUUAUUUUUUGCUUAAAAGUUAUGCUUUAGUAGUAGCGUAAUCUAGGGUGGGAGUGCAUUGCCGUAUCUGUAGCAACUCGGCCCCCAGCCUUGUAAACUUUAUUAACAAAAGCGCAGACUAACUUUAAACAAGCAAGUGGGUGGGUCAACUGCUUGCGCCGCGUCCAUUAUGUUAUUGGAUAUGUUUUUUCGGCAGCGUGGGAAUUCACAACAAAGCGCAUCGUGCGUAAGCUGGUCUGGCCGCGCGCAAUAUGUUAUUUUUGGGUUUUCUCAGGGGUGUUCGAGUACCGAUUUUUGUUCGAAAACAGAAGCAAAAAAACUCAGAAUUUUCAUUGGAAAACCAAUUUGUUCGAAAACGGGGGACGUUCAAGAGGCGAGGCUUUACUGUAUAUUGAAGUGAUUAAUUUUGGGUAAAAGACAAGCUUUUUUAUGUCAGAGACAAGUUAAAUGUUUGUCGUCAGGUUCGAAAAGGAGAGUCCUCCCCUGGAUUUUCUUUUUUAGGCGUCAUUUACUCGUGGUUUUCACAAUUUUGCAGCAGGCUUCGGUCCAGAUGAUGGCUGGAUCCCAAAAGUGUCUUCAAGGGGCUCGUUCAUACAAGUCCAGUUUUCACUGGUACCCUUCAGUGGCAGCAUCCCAAAAGAAGACAAAGAAGAAAAACAAGGCCAAACACAACUACAACCGUCAAUUCCCAAAUGACUUACUGUACCGUAAAGUCUUGGAUGGAAA